UAAGGCUACUCAUGAAAUUCAGGAAGACUCAGAGCUACUUACUUACAUAGAUAAAAUUGCGUCAGAUGACCUGUGAGAAACAGGUACCAUUGCAAAUUCAAGUUACUGUUAAGAUUCCUGUCAGCAAUUUCAGCCGUUUCUUGCAAAAGCAACCAAAUAAAGUAUUACUCAAACAUCUGUCAGCAGAGACUUGAGAGUCUAACCUUCAGCUAAGCUAGAAACCCAUAAUGAAGGACAGCUGGUCCAAACUGCUUCUGCUUACAUGAAGCUUCAGCACUUCUUUGAUGUAUAGCUUGGAAACAAAAACAUAGAUUCAUCACGCUUGGCCAAAGAAUUCCUGUUCAGGAAAGGCAUUUUAUAGAGAAUUAACUUGUCUCUCUGCCACUAUGCACUUGAAUCUCAAGUGCAUACCAGGUGCUUUCCUGACUUGGGACCUCUAUCAACAGAUAAAUACAGAGGAAAGCAGUUGUCUUUUGAACAUAUGCUCACCUGCUUCAAUGGAUCCAAAGCUAGUAAUAAAAGCACCCCUAAAUAUAUAACAGAUGCAGAAGUGAAUAUAAGUGGAAACAGUUGAAUAAGGGAAGCAGACCCAGAGCUGUCAUCAAGGUCUUCACAGUCACUAGAUUUUUUUUCACCUGCUCAUGCUCUGUUGGCAGUGACUAUGUAUUUCGUAUCUCACCAUUUUUUUUUCUCCUCAACCUCACAGGCUUUUCCUGAGAGUUUGUGACUAUAUUAGAUUCAUCUUUAAAUCCUACUAAAUGUGCUAAACAAUGUAAAAUGGUUGCCAUUAAAAAGGCAAAUUUAUAUGCUGCCAAUACUGAUCUCUACGGCCUCCUUCUAAAGUUUGUUCCUGGAGGCUCUCUGGAAAUCUUCCAGCUUGUGAGAAUCUGGUGUGGAAGGGUGCAUGUCAGCUUGAUGACUGGAAAGCUGAAGAACUAGGAGUUCAUGGGUUUGUUUUCCUAUAUAAACAAUGCAUUUUGUAAAGAAAGGUGGAAAUACCAGUUGGCAAAUGUAUUUUAUGCAGUGCUCUGAAUCUGAGGUGUGGUACAUACAGAAUCAAUUAAAAAUAUCAUGACCCUGUGUCAUUGUGG